GCCUUUGUAGUAUAAUAAAUAUGUUGGUCUUGUAAACCAGAGAAGGAGAAUACUAACCUCCCUAAGGCU
rnacentral:tRNA from 1 species